rnacentral:rRNA from 1 species
AAGCGGCGGAGCAUGCGGAUUAAUUCGAUGCAACGCGAAGAACCUUACCAAGGCUUGACAUACACGAGAACGGGCCAGAAAUGGUCAACUCUUUGGACACUCGUGAACAGGUGGUGCAUGGUUGUCGUCAGCUCGUGUCGUGAGAUGUUGGGUUAAGUCCCGCAACGAGCGCAACCCUCGUUCUAUGUUGCCAGCACGUUAUGGUGGGAACUCAUGGGAUACUGCCGGGGUCAACUCGGAGGAAGGUGGGGAUGACGUCAAAUCAUCAUGCCCCUUAUGUCUUGGGCUUCACGCAUGCUACAAUGGCCGGUACAAAGGGCUGCAAUACCGUGAGGUGGAGCGAAUCCCAAAAAGCCGGUCCCAGUUCGGAUUGAGGUCUGCAACUCGACCUCAUGAAGUCGGAGUCGCUAGUAAUCGCAGAUCAGCAACGCUGCGGUGAAUACGUUCCCGGGUCUUGUACACACCGCCCGUCAAGUCAUGAAAGUCGGUAACACCUGAAGCCGGUGGCCUAACCCUUGUGGAGGGAGCCGUCGAAGGUGG